rnacentral:rRNA from 1 species
AUUGAACGCUGGCGGCAGGCCUAACACAUGCAAGUCGAACGAGUGGCGGAGGGGUGAGCAAUGUAUGGGAACCUGCGCGAUGGAGGGGGAUAACUACUGGAAACGGUAGCUACUAGCGCAUACCAUCGGAUGUGCCCAGAUGGGAUUAGCGAGUAGGUGGGGUAACGGCUCACCAAGACGACGAUGCCUAGCUGGGCUGAGAGGCUGACCGGCCACACUGGAACUGAGACACGGUCCAGACUCCUACGGGAGGCAGCAGUAGGGAAUAUUGAGCAAUGGACGAAAGCCUGAACCAGCAAUGCAGCGUGAGUGAAGAAGGCGUUCGGGUGGUAAAGCACUGUAGUCAGGGAAGCGUUACUUACCCAGAAAGCAUCGGCUAACUCCGUGCCAGCAGCCGCGGUAAUUC